rnacentral:rRNA from 1 species
AUUGAACGCUGGCGGCGUGCUUAACACAUGCAAGUCGUGCGGUAACAGGCGUAGCAAUACGUGCUGACGAGCGGCGAACGGGUGCGUAAUACAUGGGAAUCUGCCCUUUAGUGGGGAAUAACCCGGCGAAAGCCGGGCUAAUGCCGCAUAAGAUCUUCGGAUGAAAGCGGGGGAUCGUAAGACCUCGCGCUGAUGGAUGAGCCCAUGUCGGAUUAGCUAGNGGUGAGGUAACGGCUCACCAAGGCGACGAUCCGUAGCUGGUCUGAGAGGACGGCCAGCCACACUGGGACUGAGACACGGCCCAGACUCCUACGGGAGGCAGCAGUGGGAAUAUUGGACAAUGGGGAAACCCUGAUCCAGCGACGCCGCGUGUGUGAAGAAGGCCUGCGGGUUGUAAAGCACUUUCGGUGGGAACG